ensembl:snRNA RNU6-733P RNA, U6 small nuclear 733, pseudogene
GUGCUCGAUUCGGCAACACAUAUACUAAAAUUGGAAUGACGCAGAGAUUAGCAUGGCCCCCGCACAAGGGUAAUACACAAAUUCGCGAAGUGUUCCAUAUAAAA